UAAUAUUUUGGAUUAAGACGUUUUUUUUUUAGCUAAAUGUUGGUGAGCAAAUCAAAAUUCUUCAUAGGAAGUAACUACCACAUUCUCCGCCUCAUUUUAACCACCAACGAAUAAAUAUAACCUCUCGUUCCACAUCCUUAUCUUCAUCAAGAAUGUCACCUUCAUAGGUAUUAUAUAAUAAAGCAGAUCAGAAAUACGUACAACAUGGUAUGAUACUCAUUUUUCCGAAAAUAUUUCGAAAGAGGAAUUCAAACUUUCUGUCAUUGAUUAUGAUUAUAGCAUUUUCUACUAUGAGAAAGAUGUAAUAGCUCAUGUGAUGUUUCAGACACUUUUUUGUGUAAUGUUGGAGUAUAGAACAUGGUAUGAUGAGAGGAAUUGAAGCAUUUUUUCUGGUAAACAAAGUUUAGUUGAUAGUUUUAGCACCAAGUAGGGAAACAAACUAAACCCAAAUUCAAAUUCAUUUUCUUUUUGUGCUUAUCUAAUUCCUUCUUGCCCUCCAUCAGUACAUAUUUUGUAUCAAAUUUGUGGGAACCUAUUUUUUCUUUAGCUUACCUUUUACUCUGUGUAGACUACAAUAUGCAUCUUACCCAAUGGAUUACUUAUAGGUCUGUUGCAAGACUUGCAACUUAGUAGUGUGGAUCUGGAGAUGGUCUUAUUGGACUCUAAUAGUCUGUGAGAGGGAGGUAUCACAAUCUAAGCUUCAUUUGUUACUUUUUUUUCCCUGUUUUGUUAAUUUAAGCUUAUUCUAAGCUGGAUUAUCGGCUAAUUAAUGAAGAUUUGACUUUUUAAACUUAUAUUACUUAGGGGAAUUUUAGGAUUUCGGGAGAUACCUCGUGUUGUUUUUUUUUUGCUUAUUUGUAUUUUCUGUAUCUAUUUUUGUGAGCUUUGAAUUACUUGUCCUGAACUUUAUUUUUGCACAGAUGGGAAGCUUAAAGUGGCACUGGUUGUACACAUUGUCCCUGUAGUAAUCCCUUUUUUGGGUUUCGAAAAUCUAUUGCAGAUUCAAAGUUAAUUCAAAGAGCUAUUUUUUUAAAAAAUUGUAAAUUAACUAUUUAUUCAUUGAUGAAUAUACAAUACAUGUAAUUUAUGUAUAUCACUACUACAAAAAGUGGAAAAAGGAACGCAUAACAUACAACUGUCAAGUUAGAUAGGCGUUCUAUAGAAUUAUAUAGAACGCCCAUGUUGGAUGAACGUUUUGUAUGUUGAAUCAUAUAGAACGCCUGUCCCACAUAACAGUUUUAUUUGAUUUUUUUUUUUUUAUUUUGUUACUAAAAAAUUCAUUCCCAAUAUAGAAUGCUCUUCUCACUUAACUCUUCUAUUCUAUUUUAAUAUUAUUUAAAAAAAAAAAAAAAACAAAGAAACCCUAACAAGUAACAACUCCCCUCUUUCUUCUUAUUUCUCAACUCACCCGCCGCUCAAGUUUUACUCUCUCAUCUCCUUCCUCAUCAGAUUAAAUUUACUCCAAUCAACACUCCUUCAUUAUACUCCCUUCGAUUAUGUUACAAAUUCGUCGAGAAAAUUAUCAAAUAUAGUAUUUUCUCAUACGAUAAUCUACAACAAUGAGCAAACCAUGGGGUUUGUAUUUUCCCAACAAGAGCAUAUUAGGAGUGUUUUCCACUUUUCACAUUUUGGAAUCGACAACUUGAUCAGAUUCUCAUGAUGUCAUGAGUGGUUUAUUUUCACUCAAAAUAAAUUUUUCGCCUUUCUUCUCUAAUAGGCUCGUUAACAAGUAAUUUCAGGUUUGUUCAUCAUAAUUUAUUUAGAGUUGAAUUUGGGUUGUUUGUGAUGAUUUUCGAAACAAAUGCAAAGUAAAAAUUGCAUUUUUCAGUAGUUUGUAUGCUUUAUUUCUUUGCAAUCUAUUUAAAAUGUCAAUUUUUUAAUAUAGCAGAGGAGUUAAGGGUGGUGAGGAAAUUGAAAUUUUUGUAUAAUUAAUGUUUAUUAGUUAUUUAAUUUUGAUUACAACUUAUAGUAAUUUGUGUGUUUGUAGUGCAUUUUUUGUUGAUGAAUUAGAAUCCGAUUACCAAUUGGAUUGUUGGUAACCAUCUGCUCUGUUGCUUAGUGGGGCAAUUGGUGUUGAGAAAUCAAUUUUUUCAGAAAUUUAUUUUUGAUUGAUUUUUUUUUUCUUCAUAUAUAAAAUAUUAUUUAAUCUGUUUGUAUAGUUGAAUUUAUAAAUCUAAUUACUCUAUUAUUGGUGUAGGGAAUGUAUAAGGUUGUGAAGUUGAAGAAGCUCUUCAAUACGAGGAGACAACUACCAAGUAUAAUUGAAUCAAAAUUGGCAUUUCAGAUCAAGUUCCAAACAAAAGCUAUGGAGAAUGGACUAAUGGAGCUAGUGGAAUUGAAUAUAUCUCUAAAUUUAGACUAUACUUGAAUUAUUUUGUAUAUCGAUUUUUCAUUUUGUGUAAAGAAUAGAGAACGGUCAUAUGACAUCACAGUUCUCUUUAGUGAAGAAAUAGAACGGUCAAGUCGCGUGACAGUUCUUUUUUCCUUCAUUAUUUUCUAAGAAGGGAAAAGAGAACGGUUGUGACUAACAACCGUUCUCUAUAUAUCAGUAUAUAGAACGCCUACUUGAACCGUUCUAUAAACUUUACACAUCGCUUAGCAGAAGAACGGUCCUAAGGCGUUCUAUAAAACUUGUUUUAACCGUUCUAUAAUCCCUUUUUUGUAGUAGUGUAUUAUGAUUAUUUCUCAAUUUCAAGGGGGAAAAAAAUGUAUAUUAUGAUUA